UUAUUAUAUAUACAAAUCAUAAGAACCUUGAGUACUUUAUGUCAGUACCUAUUUUAAAUUGUUGCCAAGCCUAUUGAAGCAUGUUUUUAUCAAGAUUUCAUUUCAAGUUCACAUAUCAACUCAAAAAAUAGCAAGGUUUAUCAAACUUCCUUUUAAGACAUUCUUAUCUUCAACAAAAGAAAUGAUGCAUCUUUUGAUUAGCAAAGAAUAAUUUUCUUAAAGCUAGAGUAUUUUCAUCUUUGAAUAAUAAAAUCAACAUUGACUGUUGAUUUGACGCUUGUGAAAUAAAUCCAAUCAAGUAUGUCUUCUCAUCCUCUUGUUCACAAUAUCAAGAAUCCUUCUUUUAAGUCCCAUGAUACUUCUAAGUUUGAGUUCAAAAAUAACCUAUUUUAUUUUGUAGGUCGAUUAUAUAUUCCAAAAAGAGAAGCACAAUCACAUCUUCUUCAAGCACGUCAUGACUUUCCAACAACAGGAUAUUUUAGAUACAACAAGACUUU
rnacentral:lncRNA from 1 species